UGGNGGCAAAUCCGAGUCUCGCUACAGCUG
rnacentral:piRNA from 1 species